ensembl:lncRNA
AUGCCCAGUGCAGCAGCAGCAGCCCUGGCAGUGCCAGCAGCCCCGGCCCACAGCCCUCUCCCACGGAAUUCCCGGAGCACAGGGACCCCUUGCCCACGGAACUCCCGGAAAAUGGGGACCCCUCGCCCACGGGACGCCCCGAGAACAGCUCCAGGACAUCCAGCCCCAGGGACAUCCCCGCCGUUUGCCGGGAUCCCGGCGCUGCCUCGGAGCCCGGAUGGGGUAAGGACAGGCAGGGAGUUCCCUGGAGCUGCUUCCCUGCGGAGGGAAUUCCCAGUGUCUCUGAACCCUCCUCUGUGUUUCACACAGCGUUCCAGGAUCCCACAUUUCCAUGUAAAGCUCCUUUCCUGGGGAGGGAAUUCCCAAUUUUCUCUGAAUUCUUUUCUGUAUUUCACACAGCAUUCCAGGAUCCCACAUUUCCAUGUAAAGCUCCUUCCCUGGGAAGGGAAUUCCCAAUUUUCUCUGAAUUCUUUUCUGUAUUUCACACAACAUUUCAGGAUCCCACUUUUCCAGGUGCUCAAUUUCCAUGUAAAGCUGCUUUCCUGGGAAAUGAAAUCUCAUUUUCUCAAAAGCCUUUUCUGUAUUUCACACAGCUUCCCAGGAUUCCCACAACAUUCCAGGAUCCCACAUUUCCAUCUGAGACUGCUUUCCUGGGAAGGGAAUUCCCACUUUAUCAGAAUUCUUUUUCUGUGUUUCACACAGCGUUCCAGGAUCCCACAUUUCCAUCUGAGUUUGGUUUCCUGGGAAGGGAAUUCCCAAUUUUCUCUGAAUUCUUUUCUGUAUUUCACACAACAUUCCAGGAUUCCACAUUUCCCUGGCAGCUGGAGCUCUCCGUUCCCGGAGUUCUGGAUUCUCCCUCUGGAAUCUGGGAACUCCAUCCAGAGCCAGGAAUCUUUGUGGUGUUUUAGGGAAUUUUUCCAUUCUCAUUCCAGGCUCUUUAUCCCUGCUGCUGCUGUGCCUGCUCCUGCUGAUGGUGAGUGGAAUUUCCAUCCUGCUCCUGAUCAUCCAGGCAGCCCAGAGAAAAGCCAGGAAUGGGCCUGGGAGGAGCACCCAGCACAAGGAGGGGAGCUGCAGGAUUCCCAUCCAGGAGGAGCAGAUCGAUUCCAACUCCAGCCUCAUCAAAAACUGACGCUGAAAUUCCCGCCCUGGGUUGUUCCUGCUUUUCUGAGCCCCUGGAGCUGAAGGAGCCCUGGCACUCAUUGGGGUUUGCUUAGUUUGGAGCUCCCUUGAGGCUGAUUUAGCUCUUUGGUUCACUCCAGAUCUCCCUUUGGAACUUGGGAGAAUUCCUGAGGGAAUUUUGUGUGGAUGUUUUUUCUUUUGGGCAAAUCCUUGAGCUCUGAAAUCAGGAUGGAGUCACACUCAAUCCACACUUCAUGAAAUGAAUUUUCCCUCUCUAAUUGCUUUUCCACAAAUUUCAAAAGGAAAUUUUUUGGGAGAAAAUCCCAAACUCUGGAAUGUCUGGGAGGAGCCCAAAGUGUCCUUUUGCUGAAUGUAAAAUGUUUCUGUUGAAAUUCCAGAAAAAUGGAAUUUUUUAUCAUUCAGGAGUGAUUUUCCCUCCAACUAUCAGCAGAAAAAAAAAAAAAAAGACAAAUAGUCUCAUUCCUGAGGGGAAAAAGCUCCUCAAAAAUGUGAAUUUUAAACCUAUAUCCCAAAGUAUCCCAAAACAUCCAGCAGGGAAUGGAUGCAGGGAUCCCAGAGGUGUUUAAAUCCAUGGAUUUGGAAGAUUUGGGAUAUUUUAUAUGUUAUACAUAUCCAAAGGGGUUUAUACCAUGUAUAGGAAGGUUUGUAUCGUGUACAAAGGGGCAUUUUGGGGAAUAAAACUCUGGAAAAACAAAUCCUGGUGUGUGUU